rnacentral:lncRNA from 1 species
GUUAGGAUGAGAGAGAGAGAGAGAGAGAGAGAGAGAGCUAUGUCAACAGGGUUAGGAUGAGAGAGAGAGCUAUGUCAACAGGGUUAGGAUGAGAGAGAGCUAUAGCUAUGUCCACAGGGUUAGGAUGAGAUAGAGAGAGCUAUGUCAACAGGGUUAGGAUGAGAGAGAGAGAGAGCUAUGUCAACAGGGUUAGGAUGAGAGAGAGAGAGAGCUAUGUCAACAGGGUUAGGAUGAGAGAGAGAGAGCUAUGUCAACAGGGUUAGGAUGAGAGAGAGAGAGCUAUGUCAACAGGGUUAAGAUGAGAGAGAGCUAUGUCAACAGGGUUAGGAUGAGAGAGAGCUAUGUCAACAGGGUUAGGAUGAGAGAGAGAG